AUUCCAUGAUGGGGACAUUCUAGGAUGUAGUCUUGGAAGCGCUCCCAUGCUUGUGGAACAGAUUCAUCAUGUCGUUGCUUAAAACUUGUAAUCUUCCCACGAAGAGC
rfam:Sorghum bicolor cultivar BTx623 chromosome 2, whole genome shotgun sequence.